UUUUACGUAAUUAAACAUAAAAACGAAGCUUUACACACAACACAAAUUUUUAUCUAGCUAAAUUAAAGUUUAUAGUACACUUUUUUUUUGUUUAACACAAUAUUAAUAUGGUUCAGUUUUUGUAUUGAACUUAUUUAAUCUUGAUAUUAUUUACAUUAAUAUGCUAAUCGACAAAUAACUUUUAAGUUAUAUAAAAAUAUAAUUAUACUUUCAAGAAACGCUUUUUUAUGACACAAAAUUCUUUAUCACUUCAAAGAUUAAUACACUGAAACACUGAUGUGAGUGAUGUGCGUCUUAACGAAGAACACUGUGAACAAGAUCCGACAUGUUCCU
rnacentral:misc_RNA from 1 species